GGCUGCUAAAAUUCGCCUGUAAAUACAAGUGCCAGAGGACAGCAUUCCUGCUCCCAACCUGUUUUUUUUUUUUUUUUGUACCGGGAAUCAAACUUGGCUCAUUGAGCUUGGCCAUGCAGGUGCCAGAACCACUGGCACCCUCCCGGGCCCCCUCCUUCCAACCUUCUUAGAUUAAGGAAUGCACUGCCCAGCAUUCCAGGGUGCCUGUACCUCGCCUAAGCUCACAACACUUCUUAUCAGGUCUUUGGUGAAGAGCGCAGUGGCAGGUGGAACUCCCGUGGCGAAAGCCCCUUUCAGGGCUCCGUGAUGCUUCAGCCCGCCUGCCCGUUGCUAGGCUGCGUGUGGCUCUCAGAGAGACAUCUGUCCCCAUCCCCCGUUAUUAGGGAAACUGCUGAGCACCCCGAGGCGAUGCCCUCCUCAUAGGAGAAUUGAAUGAUGUCACCAUUCACCCAGUCCUUCAGGCCAUACAUCGAAAAGUUCAUUUUCCCCCCAACUCUGGGGAUGGAACUCAGAGUCUUGAACAUUCUAGUUUGUAGGUAACUUUAAACCAGCCCUCCCUGGACCCCAGGACACGCAAGAGACAAAUGCAAGAGGGUUUGACCAGCAGGUGGACCCAGCUCAGCAGACCCUGACCCGGUGCUGCUCCCAGGAAGAGGAGUGCUGUUGUCUGGCCUCACAGAUUGAUCACAUCAAGACAGCCACAGAAAGACACCCAUGAAGGAGGAUUUCCAGAACUGCUUCAGAAUGUAGCAAGCACAAGUGUUCAAAACA